rnacentral:snRNA from 1 species
GCACUGGCUUUGGCAGCAUAUACACUAAAUUUGGAAUGAUACAGAGAACAUUAGCAUGGCCCUUGUGCAAGGAUGACACACAAAUUCAUAAAGCAUUCCAUAUUUUU